rnacentral:tRNA from 1 species
GCGGGUAUAGCUCAGUGACAGAGCGCUCCCUUAGCACGGGAGAGGGUUGUGGUUCAAUUCCUCAUACUCGAC